GACGAACGCUGGCGGCGUGCUUAGCACAUGCAAGUCGAACGGUAAGGCCCUUCGGGGUACACGAGUGGCGAACGGGUGAGUAACACGUGGGUGAUCUGCCCUGCACUUCGGGAUAAGCCUGGGAAACUGGGUCUAAUACCGGAUAGGACCACUGCCUGCAUGGGUGGUGGUGGAAAGCUUUUGCGGUGUGGGAUGGGCCCGCGGCCUAUCAGCUUGUUGGUGGGGUGAUGGCCUACCAAGGCGACGACGGGUAGCCGGACUGAGAGGGUGACCGGCCACACUGGGACUGGGGUACGGCCCAGACUCCUACGGGAGGCAGCAGUGGGGAAUACUGCACAAUGGGCGCAAGCCUGAUGCAGCGACGCCGCGUGAGGGAUGACGGCCUUCGGGUUGUAAACCUCUUUCAGCACCGACGAAGCGCAAGUGACGGUAGGUGCAGAAGAAGGACCGGCCAACUACGUGCCAGCAGCCGCCGUAA
rnacentral:rRNA from 1 species